AUCUUCACAUUUUAGCUGCAGAAGGGUAACUUUUUGAUGAUGAUCCAGACUUUACAAACACCAAGUUCAAUGAGAGACUUAUGCACCAACAACUUUCGCGGCACCACUUGACUUUUGGGCGCUACUACACCAGUGGACUUCAAGAUAUCUGUGAAAGAUCAUUGACUGAAUCCACUGGUGGCCCAUCUGGGCCAAACACUCCGAAUGUAUUGACCUGGUCAGUCAACCUAUGAUUUAAUUGAACUUGUUUUGGAUAGUGAUUUGUUGAUGUAAUUAGUUGAUCAUGUAACUGACUUGUGGAUAACCUAUGAUGUUUGUUUGUUUUUUCUGACUCUGUGAUCCACUGUUUUGUGAAUCUGUAU